rnacentral:rRNA from 1 species
AGUGAACGCUGGCGGUAGGCCUAACACAUGCAAGUCGAACGGCAGCACAGUAAGAGCUUGCUCUUACGGGUGGCGAGUGGCGGACGGGUGAGGAAUACAUCGGAAUCUACUUUUUCGUGGGGGAUAACGUAGGGAAACUUACGCUAAUACCGCAUACGACCUACGGGUGAAAGCAGGGGAUCUUCGGACCUUGCGCGAUUGAAUGAGCCGAUGUCGGAUUAGCUAGUUGGCGGGGUAAAGGCCCACCAAGGCGACGAUCCGUAGCUGGUCUGAGAGGAUGAUCAGCCACACUGGAACUGAGACACGGUCCAGACUCCGACGGGAGGCAGCAGUGGGGAAUAUUGGACAAUGGGCGCAAGCCUGAUCCAGCCAUAGCGCGUGGGUGAAGAAGGCCUUCGGGUUGUAAAGCCCUUUUGUUGGGAAAGAAAAGCAGCAGGUUAAUACCCCGCUGUUCUGACGGUACCCAAAGAAUAAGCACCGGCUAACUUCGU